rnacentral:rRNA from 1 species
CCUACGGGUGGCAGCAGUAGGGAAUAUUGCUCAAUGGGGGAAACCCUGAAGCAGCAACGCCGCGUGGAGGAUGAAGGUUUUCGGAUUGUAAACUUCUUUUUUUAGAGAAGAUAAUGACUGUAUCUAACGAAUAAGCACCGUCUAACUCCGUGCCAGCAGCCGCGGUAAUACGGAGGGUGCAAGCGUUAUCCGGAUUCACUGGGCGUAAAGAGCGCGUAGGCGGGUUAGCAAGUCAGAUGUGAAAUCCUAUGGCUUAACCAUAGAACUGCAGUUGAAACUGUUACUCUUGAGUAUAGGAGAGGUAGGAGGAAUUCUUGGUGUAGCGGUGAAAUGCGUAGAGAUCAAGAAGAAUACUCAUUGCGAAGGCGGCCUACUGGAACAUAACUGACGCUGAUGCGCGAAAGCGUGGGGAGCAAACAGGAUUAGAUACCCGUGUAGUC